CUUUAUUAUAAAUAAUAAUAAACAUUUUGCGGCAGUUUGAACUUCCGAGUCAGCUUUCAUCUAAUGCGCAGUACGAUUCCAGUUUGAAAACAACUACGGCGUUUAAGCGGUUAGCCAAGCGUCUCUCCAUUGAUCAAUAAAACUGUUGUCUGCUACAAAUACAAAAAAAGAAUAAAAUGGACUUCCGAAGGAUGUGCAGUGAAUUUCAGGAUGAGGAAGACCCAGAUAAAAUUCCAUCUACUGGACGCCGAAUUCUGGCUGAAAUUUAGGUUCUUGAAGUAUGCAUAAACGGACCAACAGAUUCUUAGAAAAAUAGUCCGGGUUAAUAUAAAAAAACGUUCCCGCCUUACCAACGCCAGAAACUGAGGGUGGAAAAGCUGUCACGGAAAAAUAAAGCUUUUCAUUGAAAAUCUCGUGCUACUGCCAUCUAACGAAGCUUUUGUGAAACCGAGAGAUUACCGAGUCAAGAUUCUAAUGGACAGCGACAAGUAAUGUCCCGGUGAGCCGGAUACUAUUGUGAACCGGAGGAAGAAUGCGUCUGGAGAAAAAGAGAAUCGGAGACGAGGAUGAGCACCUUGGGUUACUACCGGCAGAGAGGGAACAUAAGAUGAACCGGGUAAGGGUAAGAGUGGGAAACAUUCACCGAUCUUUACUAUAUAUAUUUUAUUUUGAAAACCAGUAGAAAGAAAACGAUUAAAAAAACCUCGAUCUGGAGAAAGUAGGCUGACCAUCACAUCCAAUCGCUUACCGAUACGAUCAUCUUCACAAAACCUCACCUUGAUCUUCCUUCUAUUGUCAAUCACCGUCUCUCGCUUAAUUGCAAUUACACUGUUGGUUUUUUUGGUUCUCACGGUGGUAUUAUUAAUUACUAUUACACCUAAUCGCAACUUGUUACGUAAAUACUUUAUUUUUUAAUCGACUUUGGUUUCUUUUCCGUGGACAAAAAAUUAAAAACCCACGUCGCAAUCAAGAAACUUAAAUAACAAUUAUUUUUAAGCAUUCAUUAGAUACAUUAUUUAGUAGU